rnacentral:rRNA from 1 species
UACGGGGGGGGCAAGCGUUGUUCGGAAUUACUGGGCGUAAAGGGCUCGUAGGCGGCCAACUAAGUCAGACGUGAAAUCCCUCGGCUUAACCGGGGAACUGCGUCUGAUACUGGAUGGCUUGAGAUUGGGAGAGGGAUGCGGAAUUCCAGGUGUAGCGGUGAAAUGCGUAGAUAUCUGGAGGAACACCGGUGGCGAAGGCGACAUCCUGGACCAACAUUGACGCUGAGGAGCGAAAGCCAGGGGAGCAAACGGG